CCAAACUUGGUCAUUUAGAGGAAGUAAAAGUCGUAACAAGGUCUCCGUAGGUGAACCUGCGGAGGGAUCAUUACCGAGUUCUCGCCCCUCGAUCACUACCGUCGUUGCUUUGGCGGGCCGCCGGGCCAUGCCCGGCCGCCGGCUGCGCCGGCGCGCGCCCGCCAGAGGCCCGUAAACACUGAACGUUAGCGUCGUCUGAGCGAAACAUGAAUCGUUAAAACUUUCAACAACGGAUCUCUUGGUUCUGGCAUCGAUGAAGAACGCAGC
rnacentral:misc_RNA from 1 species